rnacentral:rRNA from 1 species
GACGAAGGUGGCAAGCGUUGUUCGGAAUCACUGGGCAUAAAGAGCACGUAGGCGGCUAAGUAAGUCGGAUGUGAAAUACCUCGGCUCAACCGAGGAACUGCGUCCGAUACUGCUUGGCUUGAGGUCCGGAGGGGAGAGUGGAAUUCCCGGUGGAGCGGUGAAAUGCGUAGAGAUCGGGAAGAACGCCGGCGGCGAAAGCGACUCUCUGGUCGGAAUCUGACGCUGAGGUGCGAAAGCUAGGGGAGCAAACGGG